AUUGAACGCUGGCGGCAUGCCUUACACAUGCAAGUCGAACGGGUCCUUCGGGACUAGUGGCGGACGGGUGAGUAACGCGUGGGAACGUGCCCCUUGGUACGGAAUAGCCCCGGGAAACUGGGAGUAAUACCGUAUGUGGUCGAGAGACGAAAGAUUUAUCGCCAAGGGAUCGGCCCGCGCUGGAUUAGGUAGUUGGUGGAGUAAUGGCCUACCAAGCCGACGAUCCAUAGCUGGUUUGAGAGGAUGAUCAGCCACACUGGGACUGAGACACGGCCCAGACUCCUACGGGAGGAAGCAGUGGGGAAUCUUAGACAAUGGGGGAAACCCUGAUCUAGCCAUGCCGCGUGAUCGAUGAAGGCCUUAGGGUUGUAAAGAUCUUUCAGGUGGGAAGAUAAUGACUGUACCACCAGAAGAAGCCCCGGCUAACUCCGUGCCAGCAGCCGCCGUAAAAC
rnacentral:rRNA from 1 species